AAGUCGUAACAAGGUUUCCGUAGGUGAACCUGCGGAAGGAUCAUUAUUGAAUAAACUUGAUGUGGUUGUAGCUGGCCCUCGCAAGGGAGUAUGUGCUCGCCCGUCACCUUUAUCUUUCCACCUGUGCAUUCUUUGUAGAUUUGAAUUGUAGUUUUCCGAGGCAACUCGGUUGGGAGGAAUGUCAUUCGUGGCUUUCCUUGUUAAUACGUUCAAGUCUAUGUUUUCAUAUACUCCAAAAAUGUAACAGAAUGUAUCAAUGGGCCUUGUGCCUAUAAACUUUAUACAACUUUCAGCAACGGAUCUCUUGGCUCUC
rnacentral:misc_RNA from 1 species